rnacentral:misc_RNA from 1 species
UUUCCGUAGGUGAACCUGCGGAAGGAUCAUUACUGAGUUCUGGGUUCUCUUUCGAGGCCCGACCUCCAACCCUUUGUGAACACAACUUGUUGCUUCGGGGGCGACCCUGCCGUUUCGACGGCGAGCGCCCCCGGAGGCCUUCAAACACUGCAUCUUUGCGUCGGAGUUUAAGUAAAUUUAAACAAAACUUUCAACAACGGAUCUCUUGGUUCUGGCAUCGAUGAAGAACGCAGC